UGCCCCGCCUCCGGCGGUCCCCGCAGAGUGGUUCCCACGGCGUUGCAGAGUUCUCUGAGCGCCUUCCCGAGGCGGAUAGGCGGUUUCGGUGCUACCGGUGGCGCGGCGGGAGAGUGUGCGGGACUGGCGCGUCCCCGGAGCGCUCCUUCUAGCCUCGAGAGCAGGUGCAGGGGUGCCGUCGGGCAGAGCAGGAGUGUCCGCGUGCUGGGCUCCCGGCCGCCCGCACGCACCCCACCCGCCCCUCUGCGCCGCGGCCGCCCACACCGCGCCACCCCCUGUGCGCCCUGGCGCGCGUUGUCUUUUUCGCCCCUGUGCGUCCUGCCUGCCCCUGUGCACCCGGCUCCCGGAGCACAGCCUCGGGCAGUGUUGUCUAGCUCACUGACAGAGGGUUCAAGGGCCCCUGGGAAUCAUGGCGCUGGGCAGCAGGCCGGGAAGCAGUGCAGCAGCUCUGGCCUGGCAGAGUCCAAAGGCUUUGCGCUCCGCUCGCACCGCGUCUUCCCUGUAGCGCUCUCGAGGCGGUGGAUCCGGUGCAAGUUAAUCAGAUCUUCAAUCCCUUUGCUCCACGUCUAGUUCUCAAGAGGGUCGUUUGCCGUCAUCCUUAACUAGUACUUGGGAAGUGCUGUGUGAAACAGGGCCUGGGGUAAAUUCAGCCGGAGUGCUAAAGCAGUUUUCUUUCAAGAGCAGGGAUUUGAUUUGAAGGUCGAAAAGAAUAUAAUUUGUGCAUUGUGGCUGUAAUCAUGAAAAGACAAUUUACCUAUUCCUAGGGGACCUUCCUUAUUCCUGCUUUAUCUCUCCCUACUUGCGAAGAGGAGCUAGAGAAGGCUUUCUCCCUUCAUCCUAAAACAGAAAGUUUGGUUAAAGAGAAAGGUUUGCUGGGAGGAAAACAAGAAGCUAUCUUCUUGGGACAUACUUACCCAGAAACUGUUAGUGGCAGUGCUAUUCUGGGUUUGGGACUGGCAGAAUCAUGGAUGGGAGAUGCCCAGAGAAUUCAGCUGAGCUAUAUAUUCUUCCUAACCAAAUGCACAACGCUGUGAUACAAGUUACACUUCUGGGACUUCCCAAAGCUGCAGAGUUUAGAAAUCAAGCUGGAUCUGUGUGACUCUUCAGCCUUGGAACACAGAACUGUCACCUUUCCAGCAUGGUCUUACAGCAGAAUCUUCACUGAGUGCCAGGCUUUUGACUUCAACUGGAUCGUCUGAUCUCCAGCACACAGGAUACUGUUGUGUGUUCUUGCAGCACUGUUCUCCAGUACCAAGUUUGAAAGUGCUACAACUGUGAAGACAAUAAGAUUCAUUAUGACGCCCAUUCUGGAUGACUGUUAUCUUUUUUUUAAAGUCCUGUAAUGUCUCCAAUGUUUUGGUUUUAUUCUUUACUGUUUUGUUCAAUUUUAUUAUAACUGAUGAUAUAGGCAAUUCUUUUUAAGAUAACAAGAGGCAGUAUUGUAACCAUUGUUGAUCACCUUGUAUUUUGUUUUUACAUUAUCUAUUAUGUCCAUCCUUUUGAUUUGACUGACUUUGUUCUGUUAUGUCACAUUUGCUUUUACUCUCUUCAAAAAAAAGUAAUAAGAACUGUGGGAGUAAUAAAACCCAAAAUGUGUAAUUGUCAUUUUACAAAAGAGAGGAAAAGAAAGUGCUCUAAAGGAUAUAACUGCAUAUAUAUUUAAGUGUAUAAGAUAGAUAACCAUAUUACUGAGUUUUGUUGGAUCAUUGAACAAAACUGUUUGCAGUCUCACUGUUUGAAAGUCCACUUUCUAUGCUUUAAUUUUAUAAGUUGAACAACUAUUUCUAAGAUAACAAUAUGUAACCUAUUAACUAGUGAUUUCCUACUGUUUAUUUUUUCUGAAAUUCUGUAUAACUUGUACCCUUUUUCGUUUUUUUUUUCCUUUUUCUCCUGAAAUAAAAUUAAAAGAAAAAAAGAAGCCAGCUGUGAUUUUGUGUUUACAGGUGAUUUUUUUUUUUGCUAACAGCUUUUAAGGUUCUAUUUUUGUGUUGAGUUUCUGAAUCUUGACUAUGAUAUGCCUGGCUGUAGAUUUUUUUUUUUUAUCAUGGCUAAUUGGAGUUUUAUAUGCCUCACUUAUCUGCAUGUUAGAUUUUUUUCCCUCCCAGAAAAGUUUUCUGCUGUUGACUUCUGAGAACAGUUUUUUUUUUGUUUGUUUGUUUGUUUUUGUUUUUUUGUCUUUUUCAUUUUUAUCGGUACCGGGGAUCGAACUCAUGACCGCCUGCUUGCAAGGCAGGUGCUUAUGCUGGGGAAAUGUGAAAACAGGAAGGGAAAAGAAAUGAAAGAACAGAACAGCUGCCACAAAGAGGCUAGAAACCACAUUCAUACUCAUUAAAAUAAGAUCAAACAAUGAAGGUGAAAAGAAACACCAGAAGUCCACUUCCAGGUUUGUCUCCGCUAUCACUGGUGGACAAUGUGUAGAGACAGAGUCUAGAUCUGUGGAUUUAUGCCAGUAAGCCAGCAAUAGCUUUUUGGUGAAGUACUGGAUAAUUGUGGGGAUUAUUUCCCCUGGAUUUCGGCCUGUAUUCUAGCCAUGGAGGCCAAGACCAUACUCAGCCUGCAGCUAUCAGUGCCUUCUCUGCGGGCUUGAACUCUACUGGGAGCUGCCAGAUGACCCCAGCAGGUGGGAGUUCUGAACUCACUGAGCUUCUUUCCAAGAUGCCUCCUUGCCAAUGGCUGUCUCCCACAGGCUGACAGAACCCUCAGCACAAACCCUAACUGGUGCAGUCCUCCACAUCUGCCAUUCCUGUCCACUGCUGCAUCUCUCUCUGGAGACUUCCAGAGCCACUAGCAGUCACUGCUCCUCCCACACAGUGAGUCCCAACUCAGGGAGAAGGCUCUGCUAGCUACCUCCUCCUCCUUCAUUGAAGUUUUUUCACUUUCCAGGUGGCCUUCAGUUCUCACUUCACAUCCUUCCUGGGUCCAGGAGACCCACUUCCCUCCUCCUUGUCUUCCUCACACUGCGUAUUCCUGUGUCUGGUUGGCAGCUCUUCUUAGCUGCUUACCAUUCUGCCAUCUUCCUAGAAGUCAUCUCUGUUCCUCUGAUGUGGGAAUUCAUGGCUAUAAAAUUCCCUCUUCGGACUACUUUCAUUGUGUCUGAUAGGUUCUGGUAUGUUGUACUGGUUUUAUUAUUUGAUUCUAGGUACUUUCCAAUUUCUUCUUUGACUCAUUGAUUUUUCUGGUAUGUAUUAUUUAAUCCCCCAGUUUCUGUGUCUCUCUGUGUGCUCUAAGUAAUGAUUUUUUCAAAGUAAAACCCUAUGCUGUUUCUGCAGCUUACAAUAGCUAUAGGCUUUUCUUGCAGCUAGUACUGCUGUGGCUAGUGGUCCAUUUUUUCUCCUUUGGAGAUUCUGGCCCUCUCUGGGCUUACCUUGUGUUAGAAAAGCUAGGUCCUCCUCCCUGGCAAAAGGGUUAGCUCUGCAGACCACUUUUAUCUUUUUGUGUAUAUUGUCCUCUAUUUCUCUAACUGCUCUGUAGUUUCUGGUUUUUCUGUCUGUUCAAUCUUAAUUACUUGAGAUGUACUCUUUUUCCCCCACCAAGUUCUUGUUUUCAUGUGUCUCGAUUCAGGUCCCAAAGAGACUAUAUUUUGCUGUGAGUUUUAUUCCACCACUAUGGGGAGUAAAGGCCCAGAGGUCUGGUUGAUGGCCCUGGCAGAGGAGAGGGUCUGAGAAGACUUGGACCUGAAAUGUCCUUGGCAGGCUGAGUGAGUUGCCCUGCCCCGCUCCGGCCCUACCCCUAAGAACCCCUUUCAUCCUUCCAGGGCCACCAUCUAGGCUCUAUCACCAUCCAGGUCUUAGCCCAGCCUAUAUAAAAGGGCAAGGGACACAUUAAGCCAUUGGUGCCAUCAGCCUGGUCUCCGGUGUGAUUUAUUCCCACCAUGACUGUGCACCACUUCCCAUGGGCCCAGGUCCAUGCAGUGACACACCACUUUAAUCCUACCUAGCAUAUGUUAUCAACAAGCUGAGAAUGAUAAAGCAGAAGGACGUGUGAAGUUUUACUUCAUGAACAAUAUUGUCAAAAUGUUGCUCUAAUUUUAGACAGUCUGCUUGUAAGCUUUUUGUUAUGUGACUAG